CGGCAGCGGCGGGCGGCCCGCGUGGGCUACUGCUGGGGGCUGCGUUCGGGCGAGGAGGGGAGAUUCUGUCUCAGAGGCCUCGGGCUGCACGUUCUUCCGGGCCGCGCAUUUGCAGCCCACAGCAGGCCCCAGCCGGCCCCUCUGGAGUUGGGCCACUGCUUCUGCAGGCCCAGCAGGCCCCUGGGGGCGGCCGGAGGCCACUAACUGGCUUCUCCAGCUCAGCAUUCUUCUCUCAUUUGCUGGGUACCCCACUCUCUUCUCUACCCCUUUGAACCAUCUUUACCCUCAUUCCUCAGGGAACGUUUAACGAGUUGAAUGUUUACCAUGUAGUCACUCUAUAUGGAAAUCAUAAUUCAAUUUUGUAAACAUCAGACUUUGACAAAACAAAUGAUGAUGUUCUUAAGGAAAGCAGAGAGACACAGUGUGAAAUCGCUGCUCUCAGAUCAGCACACGGGAGAGGCCAGCAGUCAGGAGGGGGCUCACCGAGUUUGUCUGCACUCGCUCCCUCCGCAGCCGCCCUCUCCAGCUGGAAGAAGUCGUAAUCGAACCUGCUCAGGUCCUCACUGCCCCACUCCGAAGGAAACCCCACGUACAGGUGAGGUCAGAGGAGUGAAGUGACUUGCCCAAGACCACACAGUGAGUCAGGAGCAGGCCUGUCCCUCCAGCAGUGGUGCCAUGUUGUCCCCAAGCCAUGGUGGCAGAGGAGCUGGUGUGAACGCCCCAUCCUGCCACGUCUGUGAUGUGGGCACCUCACAUGACUGUCCCCUCCCAGCUCUUGGGGGGGACCUAGGACAUUCUGUGAGCCUGCAGGAAAGUUUACCAAAUGCUGCAGCUUUGUCCUGGUGGUGAUGGGCACCCCGUUAACGGCAACCUUGCAUUUGCUAUGUGGAGUGACCGUCACUUUACCGUCGGCAUUUGUGAAGGAAGCGUGUUUAUCUGAAAUUCUAAGAAGAUGAGAGUCAAAGACACCCAGCAAACGGCGGUUUCCGUGAGCAGGGUUGGAGCCCAGGAAGCAAACCAGCACUGCACCCUAGAUUUCAGCCAGAGGACGAAAGCCCUGCCCUCAGCUUUCUCAGACCAGCCCUGGAGUAGGUGGCCCGGGGAGACCUGGGCAGUGUCCCUGCUUGUCCUGCAGACUGUGUGGCUCUGCAGACCUCUAGAUGGAGGAGGCACAAUUCUCUAAUGCUGGACGAGGACACUGAUCAUGGAAACUCACCCCA
rnacentral:lncRNA from 1 species